UAAAGGGCUGCGGUAUUUUAACCGUGCGAAGGUAGCAUAAUCAUUAGUCUUUUAAUUUGAGGCUGGAAUGAAUGGCUGGUCAAAAAAUAAUCUGUCUCUAUAUUAUAAUUAAAAUUUAAUUUUUAAGUGAAAAAGCUUAAAUAACACAGAGUGACGAUAAGACCCUAUAAAGCUUUACAAUUUAUUAGGUAAAAAAAAGGUAAUUAUAAAUUAUUUAUUUAAAGUUUGUUAUAUUGGGGUGAUAUAAAUACAAAAAGUAACUGUUUAUAAAUUAAAUCUAAAAUAAUAGGUAGGUUGAUGAGCCAAAUAUAAUGGUUAGGAGAAAAAGUUACUUUAGGGAUAACAGCGUAAUUUUUUUUAAGAGUUCUUAUCGACAAAAAUAGUUGCGACCUCGAUGUUGAAUUAAAAUUUCUUUAUAAAUGUAGAUGUUAUAAAA
rnacentral:rRNA from 1 species